GACCGAGGGUGCAUCCACGGGGCCCUAUUUUCUCGUCGGAAGAAGGAUACAGGUGUUGUUCAGUAGGAUAUUAAGUUCCGCAGAGGUUCGAAGAAUAAGGAUCCCGUUAUCAUUACAGGAAAAUAAUGGUUCGAUACCAGAGAAAGAGAGAGUCUGAGAAACCAAUUCCGUUUCCAAGGGAGGCAGCAGACACGCAAAUAACCCACUCCCAGUAUAGGGAGGUGGUGACGACAAAUACCGAUUUGGUACUUUUAUGAAGGCUUCGUAAUCGGAAUGAGUGAACUGUAAAUCAUUUUACGAGGAUCAAUUAAAGGGCAAGUCUGGUGCCAGGAGCCAAGUUAACUUCAGCUCCAAUAGCGUAUGUUAAAAUUGCUGCAGUUAAAAACUCGUAGUUAGAUCUCGGUAUGACUGUCGCCUGCAAUUCCUCGGCUGAUUGUGUCGGCGCCAGUCGGACCUUGCUUCGCUUGGUGUCCCUUCCCAGGCAUGGUUAUGCUCGAGUUGGUGGUUAGGUGGUGUCACAUUUCAGCCAUGUCUGUUGAGAAAUACCCGCAGGGUAGGUGAUUAACAGGUGGUGCUCUGCGACAGUAGUGUUAAUCGACUCGUCUGCACGCCUUUGGAUGCCCUUAAAAAGGUGUUUAUGGGCAGAUAGCACGUUUACAUUGAGCAAAUGUGAUGGCGCAAACUAGGCAGUUGUUAGCUGAAAUAUUUUGCAUUGAAUAAUGGAAUAAGAGUUUGGUUCUAUUUCGUUGGUUUUCAAAUGCGAUUAAAUGAUCAAAAGUGACAGGCGGGGACUUUUGUAUGGUUGCGCUAGAGGUAAAUUCAUAGACUGUAACCAGACAAAUAAAAGCGAAAGCAUUUGUCAAGCAUAUAUUUAGGGGCCAUGAGUGUAAGUCAAAGGCUUGAAGGUGAUCAGAUAACUUCCUAGUGCUGACCAUAAAUGAUGCCAACUUUCGAUCCAUGGUGGUAUUAUUUUAAAUAUCCCCACGGGUAGUCCCAGGGAAACCUUAAAGUCUUUGGUUUCCGGGGAAACUAUGGUUCUAAAGCUAAAAAAUAAAAUAAUUUAUGGAAGGAACCACCAGGCGUGCUGUCUGUGGCUUAAUAAACUGAACACGGGAAAAUUACACCUGCCCGGACACUGUAAGAAUUGACAGAUUGCUAGUCCUUUCUUGAUUUGGUGGUUGUUAAUGCAUGACCGUUCUUACUCGAUGGAGCAAUUUGUCUGGUUAAUUCAUAUAACGAACGACACGCCUGUACUCUGUUCCUGUGCUGACGGCAUGCCUAUUAUU
rnacentral:ncRNA from 1 species